rnacentral:piRNA from 1 species
UAGUGUCACGGGGCUUCUCUUCUGGU